UACAGAGGUCUCGAGCGUUAGGCGGAAUCACUGGGCUUAAAGCGUGUGUAGGUGGAUCGUUAAGUACCUUGUGAAAUCCCACGGCUUAACCGUGGAACUGCUUGGUAUACUGGCGGUCUUGAGCCAGCUAGGGGCUACCGGAACAAAUGGUGGAGCGGUGAAAUGCGUAGAUAUCAUUUGGGACGCCAAUGGUGAAAACAGGUAGCUGGGGCUGUGCUGCCACUGAGACACGAAAGCCAGGGGAGCAAACGGG
rnacentral:rRNA from 1 species